rnacentral:lncRNA from 1 species
GAGUGCUCAUAAGUUAUGAGUAUUGGAUUAAACCCACGCUCACUUGUAUCACUUCAUGGAAUUUCUCUCGAGUGAUCGUGAGAUGGUAAUAUCAUAUAAAUCUUCAAACCUAGAGAUAUGAGUUGUUACCUAUGAGUUGGUUGUGCAUUGAUUGCACGUAAACGCAUCAGUAACUUGAUGUUAUAAAACGUGCCUUUGUGUACAAUUCAACAAGUAGUAGAACAAGCAUAUGAGUCGAAGUUUAUCUGUUCCUUCUAGAAAUNGAAAAGUAUACAAGUAUACCGAACCGCCGAAAUUCGUAACUUCAAGUAGAACAAAACAUAAGUAAAUGGGUGUUGUACACUGCGGUUAAACCUGGGCAGUUAUGUAGUCGUGUCUAGGGUCAAUAUAGCCUGGCCAACUAUAUUCAUUCGAGACACGGCCAACAUGUGCUUGGGAGUGACUGUGGUACGCAACAUGCCUAAAACUUAUCUAAUAUCUCAAACAACGAAUCGCCGCUGCAGCGAACCAUGAAAUACUAUGGGAGUAUUUCUCGAGCCAAUCCUUCGUAGAAAAUCCUCGUAUACGCGAUGUUAUCUGAUCAUUCCGCUAGCGAUAAAAUGUUCUGUUUUGAUAACUCCUUCCUGCUUUAUCGCUUAGUAUGAUGCUAUAUCUGUCUUGAUGAGAUAUCCCCUGUUCAAUAUCUCUUGAUUCAAUUCAGAGGACUUAUAAUCCCCUCUUUCCUGAUCUUUUUAGAUCAAGAUGCCUCCGAGAAAGAGACCCAGCUCGAAGAACAACGAUAAUCCUCCUCCGCCACCACCUUCUCCUCAAUUUGAUCUCGCAUCACUUCAGACAGCUCUGACUGCUGCAAUGGUGGCAGCUAUGUCUCAAAUGAAUCCCGGUGGCUCCGGAGGUGGUCCCCAACCUCAAAACCCAGAAGGCAGCCAGGAACACCGAAGAGGGGGUUCCUACAAAGACUUCAUGAAUGCGAAACCCACAACCUUUGAUGGCACUGGAGGUGUCAUUUCCCUGACUCGAUGGUUCGAGAAGAUCGAGUCAAUCUUCGAAAUAUGUGCCUGUUCGGAGUCUGAUAAAGUCAAGUUUGCUGCUUGUACCUUCCUUGACAAAGCCCUGACUUGGUGGAACGGCUAAGUCAAAUCCUUAACUCUAUCUGUAGCGAAUGCCAUGGGUUGGGAACCUAUGAAGGAGCUUCUACUUGCAGAGUACUGCCCUCGGGGCGAAAUUCAGAAACUGGAACACGAACUCUGGAACCUGAAGAUGAAGGGUUCCAACAUAGCAGCUUAUACUUCAAGAUUCGAUGACCUGGCUUUACUCUGUCCGGGAAUGGUUACCCCGGAGAGUAAAAAGAUCGAAAGAUUCAUUUGGGGAUUGACCCAGCCAACCAAGGGGAAUGUCUUGGCUGCGAAGCCAGACACGUACGACAGCGCUAAAUGCCUUGCGAAAAUGUUGAUCGAUCACGAAGACAACUAUGAUGAGGAAACUACCACUCCCGAUUCGGACACAAGUGGAGGUGAAAGUAAAAAGAAAUCUUGGAACAAGCGAAAGGCCCAGAGUAUGAGAGGGUCUUCAAAGAAACAACAAACGGUAGCAGUCCAUGCUGCUACUACCCCUGUUACUGUAUCAACUGUUGGAUCUACAGCCCAAACUCCCACCAGUGGAUACACUGGCAGUCUUCCUUGGUGUGGUAAGUGCAACUACCAUCACCGUAUCCCUGGUCCAUGUCGCGAAAGGAGUUGCGACAACUGUGGCAAGAAGGGCCAUCUGUCUCGAACUUGUAGAAAACCGGCCAAGUCAACAAACCAAUCAUCGGGGGCAGGAAUCAGUCCAGCCUGCUACGAUUGUGGUGAGGCAGGACAUUUCAAAAGGAAUUGCCCCAAAGCAACUACCACCACUGAUCCCUCUGUCGCCGCAGGUAUACUUCUCUUUGAUAACUCUUAUACCUGCAACUCUUUCUGAUUCCCGUGUUUGGAAGGAAACUUGUUAUCUAUCUAUUCGAACGUUUUCUAAGUCCGCUUCCUUGUGUGUGAUCGAGACGUGCAUCAUCGAGACGACUAACCAAUGAGAUUGAGCACACUAACUUCGUACCUAUAGAUUGAAUCCUCGGUCCAGAGGACUAUUCUGUUCCAUUCGGUUAAUGAGAAACCUUUCGCGAUAAUACCUUGAUGCUACGUUUAACAUGGAAUGACGGAGUCCCAUUCAUGUUGUUAUCCUGGUUUCGAGAGGGUCGCCUGUCUAUAUCUCUUUGCUCGACCUAACUCUCAUGAUCUUCGGCAUCAAACUUUCGUAUUGUGUCAUGCUUUAAAACUCAAGAGUUUUUCUUGGUACGAAUUACCACGUUCCUCGUUUCUGUGUUCAUUUGGAAACGAGAAGUUAGUAGCUCUUUCUACUAAAGAUCUGUCCCGAAGAGUUUCCGGGAAAAUUCAUUAGAACAUCUAAAGUUUAAUUCCACAUCGUAUGUUUCGAAAUCUUCGUAGAGACCCGAUUCCACUUGAGAAAGUGAUUAUCCAAAAUAUCGAAUCCAUUCGAGUUUCAUUUCAAACUCAUGAUCUAUAUUCUAUUCUUUGAAUUUCGGGACGAAAUUCCCUCUAACGGGGGGAUAAUGUAACAACCCGAAAUUGUCCGUCGCCAAAACCCGUUUUACCCGAAAGGUCGUCAUUAUCGGAUUCGUUCCGUUUUCUCUUUGGAAUUAAUUGAUAAACUUAUAUGUUUAUUUCAUCCUAAUGAGUGUCUAAAUCACUCAGGAACUUAUGUUAGUUGCCCAAAAACAAUUAUUUCAUAAGUUUUAAAAAUGUUCCCGUCGGGUGACGGAAACUCAAUCGGGUGCGACCAAAAGCCGCGUUUAGCGUCGGUAUCGGGUAGAAUUCCACCGCGUGCAAAUUUUAGGGACUAUAUAAACGUGUUUCAGCUUUCAUUUGAAGCUUUUUCCUUCUCUCACUACUCUCUCUCUAACCUCUCUCCAAAAUCCAAAGAUUAAGUGUCCAAAACUCAAAAUUUAAGCUUCAAAUCCUUAAGGUACCUCCCUAGCCUUAAACUAUAGCAUCUUUAGCUUCCAAAUUCGAGAUUUAAACAUGAAAUUGGACAAUGUAUGUGAGUUUACGGCCUAAGAAGAUGCCUAGGCCGUAAACACCAAAUAUGAUGGGUUUUGAGCCUUUAAACCCUUCCUUGACUAGUUUGGACCUUGGAUAUAGAUAUGGGACUUUAAAAUAUGGAAUCUAAACAUGUAAAACUUGAAUUAUGUGAUGUUUGAAGGAGUUUAAGACCAAGGAUCAUUCUUGGGCCGUAAACUCAUAUAAUGAGGGUUUUCAUGCCCUUAAACCCUUCCAAAUCACUCCUACGGCUUAGAUAUGAAUUAUAGGACCUUGAUUCUAGCAUUUGGACACUUGAAACAUUAAUUUUGGGGGACUUAGAUGAGUUUACGGCCAAGGGGAGUUCUUGGGCCGUAAACUCCCCAAAACUUGGCAUAAAUUCCAUUUUAAGGUGUUAGAAAGCCAUCCAACACCACCAAAAGCCUUGGAAUAAAUCAAGGGACCAACCAAAAAUACUUUGAGGGCCUAAAACACAUCAUUUGUGAGGUUUCUAAGGGUUUACGGCCAAGACUUGUUCUUGGGCCGUAAACUCAAAAAUUUUUGGUGUUAAGAUGCAAACUACACACCCCUAAGGCCCUUAGAUGAAUUUUAGAAGUCCUUUCAUGCAAGUUCUAGACCUUGAAACACCUUGGAACACCACACACUAGAGUUUACGGCCAUGAAAGGGGUUUCAUGGGCCGUAAACUCCACAAAUCCCUCAUAUGUCCCUUGCAAACUCAUAUUAAGCCUUGGAUUAAUUCUACCAAUCACAUGUGAUUUGUUCUAACACCAUUUAACAUCAUUUUCUUGGGUAAAUAAGGGUUUACAGCCUUGUAGCCAUGCUAGGCCGUAAACUCCCUUAAAGGGGGGUCAAAUUGAUGUUUUGAAUCAUUCCAAGUCCUUAAACCAAGUCUAGAAGUUAUCCCCUAAGUGUUGGAAGUCCAAAUGGCACCAUAAAGCACCCAUCAUGAGUUUACGGCCGUAAACUCAUGGGGAAGGGUGUCUUGGCCGUAAACUCCCUUAAGGGGAGUGUUCCUUUGAUGUCCCAACUCAUUUGCCAAGUCCCUUGUGUCAUUCAUGUCCCUAAACGCCACCCGGGUCCCACCAAACACUUGUAUCGGAGUGUUAUCGCGACCUGAAGCAUUGGUCCCUAUCCGACAAUCAAUCUAAGUCCUAAUUGGAUACAAAUGUGUAUCUUUACAUCAUAAUUAGGAACCUCGUGCGUUUCCAAGUCCCGGCUCAGCUCUUAGCAUCCAAACCGUCUCAUAUCUCGUCCGGUGAGUUCAUACCCCUACGGCUUUUUCACUGUUUUCAAUGUUUUCAGGGGGGGAAUACAAGCAAGCUAUAACUGUUUUCCAAUCACAACAUUGAUGUGUUUCAAACAAUCUUUGACAAACCUAUAAACUCUUUUUCUCCUUAUGUAUUAUGCUGAGCAUAAGGAAUGACUACUCGAUUUCAACUAAAUGGAUUUUAGUUAAGGAAACAAUCAAACUAAUCAAAUUAUUAUGGGAAUAAUUUGGGGGUCUUUACUACUCUUUCUGUCGUAUACUGAUAUCUAUACCAAGUUAUUAGAUAAACUAUGUCUGUUUCAGUUUAUCUCCGUAUCAUUUGAAUGUAUUAUCCGAUAAUUUCAUGUAUGUAUCUAUACUUUACGGUAUUAUGUUUCAUAAUCUUCUGUAUGUCGAUAUCUUAUGAGAACCCUGUGAAUAGUUUAGUACUAGCUUGUGAGAUAGUCACUACCCUUUAUGGAUGAUCAGUAAAUCCUCCCCGGAAGUGUAACCAGAGUCUCCUGGAGGGAGAGCGUGGAAUUUGUGAAUAGAUCUAUUCGGGACUGACAAUCCCACACCUUAACUGUUAGCUACAGUUAGGCGGGCACGCCUAGGGUGACAAAUUUCUGGAUAUCGUUCGACGUCUGGCAAAUGUCAAGGAGGUCACGUUGUCGUAUUAGUAUGGUUACCCGACUCACAAUAUGUAUUAAUAUCAGCUUAUUCACAGUUUGGGUUCAGAAACAACGUCUCGUUCGGGAUAGUGAUCCCAUGGUUUUAUAUCUAUAUUUUAUAUCUCUUUCGGGAUUGUGAUCCCAUGGUGUUGUUUCUAGAUCUCUUUCGGGAUAGUGAUCCCAUGGUAUUAUCAAACUACUUUAUAUCCAUGUCCUAUACGGGAUAGUGAUCCCAUGGUUUACUUCUAUAUCUCUUUCGGGAUAGUGAUCCCAUGGUAUUAAUCAAACUAUUUUGAAUCUAGUUCGGGAUAGUGAUCCCAUGGUUGGUAUUUACAACUUGUAUGGGAUGUCUUUCCCCAUGGUCUUAAACUAUAUCUUAUACGGGAUAAUGAUCCCAUGGUUUGUAACUAUAACUUAUAUGGGAUAGUGAUCCCAUGGUUUUCUAAAUUCAUAUUUUAUACAGGAUAAUGAUCCUAAGGUUUCGUGUCUUAACUAUAUCUUAUACGGGAUAGUGAUCCCAUGGUUUUCUAAAACUAUAACUUAUACGGGAUAGUGAUCCCAUGGCUUUCUAAAACUAUAUCUUAUACGGGAUAGUGAUCCCAUGGUUCCUAAUCUGUAACUUAUUCGGGAUAGUGAUCCCAUGGUUUCAAUCUAUAUUUACAUAUAUACAUUAACUUAUCUCGUGUUAGUCCGGGAUGAUAGUCCCAUGAUCUUGAAUCUGUACUUUCAAAUGUGUCAAACUAACUUAUAUGUCUUUCGGGAUAGUGAUCCCAAGAUUUUCAUUAUAUAGUUUUGUGUGUUAAACUAUACUUGUGUUAUACAACCGAUCUUACAAUUAGGAAAAUAUGGGAUUUUCCUGGGGUAAAUUACAAUACAUAACCGAAUUGGUAACAAAUGAUAACUUAACCAACUUUACAUAAGAAAAUAUGGGAUUUUCUUGGAUAACAAAUCUUUUCGGAAACUAAAGGAAACCGAUACAUUUUCAUAAAACAAAACCGCUUAUGAACUCACCAGCUUUAUGCUGAUUUUCAAACCGCUUGUAUUCUCAGGUCCAAGUUAGACAGGUACUCGGUGAUCUCUUUUGGCAAAGACGGAGUGCGUAGAAGACUCGUCUCAACUUUUGUUAAUUUGAUGCAUAUGUAUAUCUUGUAUAACUUUACUUUUGAAACAAAUGUAAACUUUCAUAUAUAUGUAAGGUCAUGUUUGUUUACUGUGAUUACUAUGUACAUUGGAUUUGAUACACAACAUGGUAGUCAACCCCGGAGACGUUUCCGCCUUUGGUUUUCGGGGUGUGACAACAUUCAUGAGUGCUCAUAAGUUAUGAGUAUUGGAUUAAACCCACGCUCACUUGUAUCACUUCAUGGAAUUUCUCUCGAGUGAUCGUGAGAUGGUAAUAUCAUAUAAAUCUUCAAACCUAGAGAUAUGAGUUGUUACCUAUGAGUUGGUUGUGCAUUGAUUGCACGUAAACGCAUCAGUAACUUGAUGUUAUAAAACGUGCCUUUGUGUACAAUUCAAUAAGUAGUAGAACAAGCAUAUGAGUCGAAGUUUAUCUGUUCCUUCUAGAAAUAGAAGCGAUAUCUGGGCCCCUCGAUGAUUUUGUUGUGACCUAUGUACCGGCCUGUCAGAAUUGAAUUGAUGUGUUCGAUUAAGCUCUUUGUCAAACAAAUCGAAAAUCGGGAAACAAACUGCUGGACAAUAAGUACGACGUUGU